GGUGGAGUAACCAUUUGGAGCUAGCCGUCGAAGGUGGGACAAAUGAUUGGGGUGAAGUCGUAACAAGGUAGCCGUAUCGGAAGGUGCGGCUGGAUCACCUCCUUUCUAAGGA
rnacentral:rRNA from 1 species